GUGAAGGGGAAUGGCACAAAGCUGUGUUUUAAAAGCACACAGAUUACAACUCCAACUUAGCAAUAAAAUCUAUGUAACAAUUCUGUAAUGAAUACAUUGGGACACUGUGAGAAGCCAGAGAAACAAUUUGGGUGGGACUUUUGCAAAUCUUUCUGGUGUUUUACGUGGCAAAACCAGUUCUGAUUAUGAGGCACGCCGUAGUGGAGGGCUCCGGAUUAAUUUUGACCACUUGGGGUUUCAGUGUCACUGAUGCACCGGUACAUUCUCCACUCUCUCCAGUCGGAUGCCCACAGUAACUGAAGUUCUAGCUACCGAGAGCUUCAAGGUAGCUGAAGCCAUCUGAUGUUUAUGUCUAGAAGCAUAUUUUCUCAUCUCUCCGAGUUUGUGUUAGUGUGUCCUUUGUGGGCAUGGUUGCGAUGCACAGAGCAUGCAUGUGCCGAUCAGAGGGGUGGCUGCUGGGCUUUGUGCACUGCUAACAUGCCGAUUCAGCAUUCAAACAUUUAUGCCAUAGUACAAGGACCACUCUAGCAUGUUUCUGCCAUCUGUCGCACGUUUAUAUUAUUUUGUUGUUUUUGACGCUGAGACGGUAGUGCAAUAGACCUCUCCCUGUUUAUGAACAGCGUGACGCCACUGCGGAGGCCCUUCCCCUGUGCCACGCCUCCGAAGCGGGCGCUGGUUGGCAGAAAACGUUCGUGCAACCUGUUCUCUCUGCGUAAGAGUGCUGCGUGUAUAUCAACUGCCACAAUCGUAAGUCCGGCAUAUUGCGAUUUUUUUUGAAGUGACAGUAUUUACGAUCUGUGCUUAGGAAGUAUAAUUGUCCCCGUUUCACCUUUACAACAAUGUAGCGUUGUUGCAGCGUACAUGGUUCCCGUAAGUCAGCGUUGUGGUGAUUUCGUAAGUGUAAACAUCCACAAAAAUGUAUUACUCCUCGAAAACGAACAUUUUAUCACAGAUGACCCACAUUCUCGCGGUGGCAAAGUGAUACUUUGCUAAAUGACUGCCCCAUUUACACUGUAGCUUUAAAUAUAAAGUGUAGACCGCUUAUAACGUAAGUCGCCGGAGUCGCGAAUAUCCGCACUAUAACCAAAGCAACAAUUUUCAAGGCCCGCACAUAUGUAAAACAUGUACACCGAGCUGCCACGCGUAUGUGACAGUCGAGGAAUGCGGCUUGAACAUCUGCAUUCAAUUUACAGUCGAAUCUCAUUAAUUCGAACCAAAUCACGUGGCGGCACCUCCGACCGGCAUUGCUCCGGCACCGCCAUAGAGUAAAAGCUUAGGAGAAACCCCUCAAUGUCGCGCGUGAACAAAAAAAGAAACCGCGGCGGAAAUUUCACUCUCUCAAAUGGCAAGGUUGCCGAUUCAGCGUUGCGCCGGAACAUGUGUAUAUGUGCCGAUGUGGCUCAGCCACAUUACCGUAGCCACGUGUAGAAAAUGGCAGUGAACCCCUCUUUCUCCUUUAUGCUUCCUCUACUUUCUAGUCACGUGUUGACGUUGCACCCUGCGGCUACGGCGCAGAGGGAAGCAGCGGCGUUGUCCCAGGCCGGCAAACACCCACUUCCCUAUUCCCUAUAACAGUAGGAAACGAAACUUCGGGGAGCUGGCGCCGGGCUGGCUGGAGCAGCGGCGCCUGCACGGCGGCAGGCGCGCACGGUGACAGUCAAAAGUGAGGGAGCUACGAGGGAGGGUGAGAGGAGCCACCGAAGCAGCGGAGUUGCUGAGGCAAAAUCCGCUUCGCUGCUGCCCUCCUCCCUCACAUUCCACGGUCUCCCCGUGCGCCCUUCCCCGUGCCGUUAUCGUGAAGCGAGCGUUGGCCGGCGUUGGCAGUUUCGUGGCCCUCGCUCGCUAUGCGCGCCGUGAUAUUUCACGACUUGCGCUCAAGAUUCUGGUUUCAGUCUCACUGGCUGUUCGUUCGCACCAUGUGCCCUUCUCCUCCACUUCGUCUCUCUUUCUUCCCCGAGCACUCCUUGGGGCGCUCGUUUGCCGUCUCCACUGACUUCCGUACUCCCAGGCAGCCGCACUGUAACCGGUAUUUCGUUUCCCGCAACUGCACUAUAAGCGAUAUGUGUAUACAUGGAGUGCUAUGGGAAAAUUAACGUGAGUCUGAAAAGACUCCCGUAAAAAGCGGUUACGUUAUAAGUGGUCUAUACUGUACAACAUGAACUUCGUCUACAACUACAGGGUGGUUCAGUGGAGCCAUACUAAGUAGCGGCGCCUAAACUUAGAUGAGGGAAAAAUGCAGAAAAACUUAUUACCCUUCAUUAGGAGCAUGGUAAGGUAGUGGACAAAAUUAAUCCAGAGCCUUUCGUUACACUGUCCUCCAUAAGCCACUGUGCAGCUUAGGGAUGUUAAACACCAUAAUUUAAUUUUAAUAAUAAGUCUCGGUCAUGUGAAUGUACACUGAAAAAUCUAACAUAAAUACAUAAUCCGUUGCACGCUAAUUUCGCUGUGUCUGCUGCCUCCUUUGCUGCUCUCAACUUUACAAGACCCAACUUUUGCAUGUUUAUGUGCAUCAUCUCGGCAUAAAAUCCGUGCCAUGAAGGUGAGUACACCAAAACAAAAGAAAA